rnacentral:misc_RNA from 1 species
UUGGCCUAUUUAUUCCUGCUAACUACACAAAUGAGAACAUUACAUUAGAGUGUGCAGUGUGCUGAACUUCCCAAGAGAACAAAGAAAAAGAAACAAUAAAGAUAUGAAGCAACAAUGGAAGCACAACGUGCCACUACCAGCACAACCCAGUCCCGCUCCAUAGCUACCCCCAAUGCUACUCCACAUAACCUCUCAAUGGCCCCAACUAAAACAAGUACAAGAAACCAAGGACGGAGAAGAAUGGAUGUCGCAAUAGAAUUUUGCGGUCGCCUGGACGAUCACUCACCGAAGUGGAAAAGAGUGAGGAGUCGCCACUUUA